CCUACGGGGGGCAGCAGUGGGGAAUAUUGGACAAUGGGGGGAACCCUGAUCCAGCCAUGCCGCGUGUGUGAAGAAGGCCCUCGGGUUGUAAAGCACUUUCAGUGAGGAAGAACGCCUGGUGGUUAAUACCCAUCAGGAAAGACAUCACUCACAGAAGAAGCACCGGCUAACUCCGUGCCAGCAGCCGCGGUAAUACGGAGGGUGCGAGCGUUAAUCGGAAUUACUGGGCGUAAAGCGCGCGUAGGUGGCUUGAUAAGCCGGUUGUGAAAGCCCCGGGCUCAACCUGGGAACGGCAUCCGGAACUGUCAAGCUAGAGUGCAGGAGAGGAAGGUAGAAUUCCCGGUGUAGCGGUGAAAUGCGUAGAGAUCGGGAGGAAUACCAGUGGCGAAGGCGGCCUUCUGGACUGACACUGACACUGAGGUGCGAAAGCGUGGGAAGCAAACAGGAUUAGAUACCCGUGUAGUC
rnacentral:rRNA from 1 species